rnacentral:rRNA from 1 species
GCUAUACAUGCAGUCGAGCGAAUGACGAAGAAGCUUGCUUCUUCUGAUUUAGCGGCGGACGGGUGAGUAACACGUGGGCAACCUGCCCUGUAGAUUGGGAUAACUCCGGGAAACCGGGGCUAAUACCGAAUAAUCCAUUUCCUCACAUGGGGAGAUGUUAAAAGACGGCAUCUCGCUGUCACUACAGGAUGGGCCCGCGGCGCAUUAGCUAGUUGGUGAGGUAACGGCUCACCAAGGCGACGAUGCGUAGCCGACCUGAGAGGGUGAUCGGCCACACUGGGACUGAGACACGGCCCAGACUCCUACGGGAGGCAGCAGUAGGGAAUCUUCCACAAUGGACGAAAGUCUGAUGGAGCAAUGCCGCGUGAGUGAAGAAGGUUUUCGGAUCGUAAAACUCUGUUGUGAGGGAAGAACAAGUACGAGAGUAACUGCUCGUACCUUGACGGUACCUCAUUAGAAAGCCACGGCUAACUACGUGCCAGCAGCCGCGGUAAUACGUAGGUGGCAAGCGUUGUCCGGAAUUAUUGGGCGUAAAGCGCGCGCAGGCGGUCCUUUAAGUCUGAUGUGAAAUCCCACGGCUCAACCGUG